UUUGAACUACAGUACUCUUCA
rnacentral:miRNA from 1 species